rnacentral:rRNA from 1 species
ACACCACCGGCGGACGGCUCAGUAACACGUCGGUAACCUACCCUCGGGAGGGGGAUAACCCCGGGAAACUGGGGCUAAUCCCCCAUAGGCCUGAGGUACUGGAAGGUCCUCAGGCCGAAAGGGGCUUUUGCCCGCCCGAGGAUGGGCCGGCGGCCGAUUAGGUAGUUGGUGGGGUAACGGCCCACCAAGCCGAAGAUCGGUACGGGCUGUGAGAGCAGGAGCCCGGAGAUGGACACUGAGACACGGGUCCAGGCCCUACGGGGCGCAGCAGGCGCGAAACCUCCGCAAUGCGGGAAACCGCGACGGGGGGACCCCGAGUGCCGUGGCACCGCCACGGCUUUUCCGGAGUGUAAAAAGCUCCGGGAAUAAGGGCUGGGCAAGGCCGGUGGCAGCCGCCGCGGUAAUACCGGCGGCCCGAGUGGUGGCCGCUAUUAUUGGGCCUAAAGCGUCCGUAGCCGGGCCCGUAAGUCCCUGGCGAAAUCCCACGGCUCAACCGUGGGGCUUGCUGGGGAUACUGCGGGCCUUGGGACCGGGAGAGGCGGGGGGUACCCCUGGGGUAGGGGUGAAAUCCUAUAAUCCCAGGGGGACCGCCAGUGGCGA